GAUGAACGCUGGCGGCGUGCCUAAUACAUGCAAGUCGAGCGAACAGACGAGGAGCUUGCUCCUCUGACGUUAGCGGCGGACGGGUGAGUAACACGUGGAUAACCUACCUAUAAGACUGGGAUAACUUCGGGAAACCGGAGCUAAUACCGGAUAAUAUAUUGAACCUCAUGGUUCAAUAGUGAAAGACGGUUUUGCUGUCACUUAUAGAUGGAUCCGCGCCGCAUUAGCUAGUUGGUAAGGUAACGGCUUACCAAGGCAACGAUGCGUAGCCGACCUGAGAGGGUGAUCGGCCACACUGGAACUGAGACACGGUCCAGACUCCUACGGGAGGCAGCGGUAGGGAAUCUUCCGCAAUGGGCGAACGCCUGACGGAGCAACGCCGCGUGAGUGAUGAAGGUCUUCGGAUCGUAAAACUCUGUUAUUAGGGAAGAACAAAUGUGUAAGUAACUAUGCACGUCUUGACGGUACCUAAUCAGAAAGCCACGGCUAACUACGUGCCAGCCGCCGCAGUAA
rnacentral:rRNA from 1 species